UCGCCUGUUUAUCAAAAACAUCGCCUCUUGCUUUACAUAAGAGGUCCCGCCUGCCCUGUGACUUAGUUUAACGGCCGCGGUAUUAUAACCGUGCGAAGGUAGCAUAAUAAAUUGUUCUCUAAAUAAGGACUAGUAUGAAAGGCAUCACGAGGGCUUAACUGUCUCCCUUUUUCAAUCAAUGAAACUGAUCUUCUCGUGAAGAAGCGAGAAUAAAUUUAUAAGACGAGAAGACCCCAUGGAGCUUUAAACUUCUCACCACUUAUUUAUCAUUACACCACUAUAUAUAAUAAAAAUGUUAAUUGAAAGUUUUCGGCUGGGGUGACCCUGGAGAAAAAUAAAUCCUCCAGGAUGAACGGAAUAAAAUCCUAAUCAAAGAGCUACAGCUCUAAGAAUCAAAACACUGACAUCAUUGACCCAACCAUUUGAUCAACGAACCAAGUUACCCUGGGGAUAACAGCGCAAUCCAUUUCAAGAGCCCCUAUCGACAAAUGGGUUUACGACCUCGAUGUUGGAUCGGGGUAUCCCAGUGGCGCAGCCGCUACUAAAGGUUCGUUUGUUCAACGAUUAAUAACCCCACGUGAUCUGAGUUCAGACCGGA
rnacentral:rRNA from 1 species